ensembl:snRNA U6 U6 spliceosomal RNA
AAGCUCACUUUGGCAACAUAUGCGCUAAAAUUGUAACAACUCAAAGAUUAGCAUGGCCCCUGCGCAAGGAUCACACACACACACAAAAAAAAUCAAAAAUGCAA